rnacentral:rRNA from 1 species
GUAAACCAUAGCGAGCAAACCGUGGCGGUGUCGCAAGGCGUCGUCGCGGUUAAUAAGGAUAACCCUGGUAAUUCUGAGGCUAAUACAAGAACGUACAACCCACCCGACCCGUAAGGGAAGGGGGGGGAAUGUGUGACCAGGCACGCAAAUUCGAAACUGGGAGUGGCCACACGUUCAGACCGUCAUAUCAAACAGUCGUCUGCUUCGAAAGUCCUUGUGACGAGUAACGGCGGGCUUCUGGGCGGCUCUCGCUGUGUGCUUCUGACCUAUCAACUAGAUGGCAGCGUAACGGACAUGCUAUGGUGACAACGGGUACAGAGGAUAAGGGUUCGAUCCUGGAGAGUGGGCCUGAGAGAUU